UACGGAGGGUGCAAGCGUUAUCCGGAUUCACUGGGUUUAAAGGGUGCGUAGGCGGGUUGGUAAGUCCGUGGUGAAAUCCCCAAGCUUAACUUGGGAACUGCCGUGGAUACUAUCAAUCUUGAAUAUCGUGGAGGUAAGCGGAAUAUGUCAUGUAGCGGUGAAAAUGCUUAGAUAUGACAUAGAACACCAAUUGCGAAGGCAGCUGGCUACACGAAUAUUGACACUGAUGCACGAAAGCGUGGGGGAUCAAACAGG
rnacentral:rRNA from 1 species